rnacentral:rRNA from 1 species
GAUCAUGGCUCGGGAUGAACGCUAGCGGCAGGCUUAACACAUGCAAGUCGAGGGGCAGCGGGGAGUAGCAAUACUCCGCCGGCGACCGGCGCACGGGUGAGUAACGCGUAUCCAACCUGCCCAUCACUUGGGAAUAACCUUGCGAAAGUAAGACUAAUGCCCAAUGAUAUCCCACGAAGGCAUCCGAAUGGGAUUAAAGAUUUAUCGGUGAUGGAUGGGGAUGCGUCUGAUUAG